rnacentral:lncRNA from 1 species
GGCUGUGCUGCCGCGACGGAUGACGCGGUGGUCGCAAUGGGCCUACGCGGGACGGGCCCAGUUCUGCGCUGUCAGGAGGAGCGUCUUUGGGUUUUCUGUCCGCUCAGGUGAGAAGGGCUCAGACCUGGGUGCGGUUGAUGCACCUUUCUUUUCAGCCCACAGUGGUUUACUGCGUGUAUUGUACUGGGAGAGGGUUGGGCACAUGUGCUGUUAAUUGCCACCUUUGCCAUACAUUCUCUGGGGUAUAAUC